GAAGUACACUUGAGAACUCAGAAGGCUUUCAAACUAGCAGAAGAGGAGGACGGAAGAAAAUUACUAACAAACUUGUGAUGCCAACCGAAUGUUACAAGAAAAAUACACAAAGUAGAGGUGGCUAAAAUUGACUGGAAUCUGGGAUUAGACCAGACAACAUCUAGAAAGAACACAAAUGUCAACCAGUAAUUAUUACACCAUUAAAACUCUUGACAAAAUACUAAAGAUUAGUAUGCAAAAUAAUUAGAUCAACAUUGGCUUUGGCUUUUUUUCUCUCUAUAAUCUGUCGCUAGAACUUCAUCACCUAACCAAAAAAAAAAAAAAAAAAAAAAAAAAAAAAAGGAAAUAAGAAAGGAAGGGAAGUGCAAGUAGCUUGCUUCCAAUGUGCGAAGAAAUUAAAAGAGGACCCAAACCCCAAGCAAGGGGUUUUAGUACAAUAUACUUCAGGAUCAUAACACAGCAAAAUUACUUUCUCAGAUUGAGUACCAACAAGAGGAUCAGAAAAGAAGGAACACACAAAAAUAAGAAGAGGAGUAAAUUACCCCA
rnacentral:lncRNA from 1 species